rnacentral:lncRNA from 10 species
CUGUACUGUUUUGCGGAAAGAUCACUCUGAAUUCUUAAGUGAAAAUAAGCACCUAAUACCACAAACACCUGACAAAAUGUUGAUGCAAUGUGCCAGUAAUGAGCUAUUAGGUUGGUGCAAAAGUAAUUGCGGUGUUUGCUGUUUAAAGUGACCUGAUCUCCCCACUAUUCAUCCCACAACCCUUCAGCCCUGCCACCUUCUCUUGCUCUGAGUGUUUUAACCAAGCUGAGGACGUUUAACAUUCAGCCUUUUUUCUGGGAGUCAGUCCAGUGUCUUCUACCUUCAAGACAUGAGAUUUCUUUAUGUAUUAGAAAAAUAAUGAGUGAAGUUUUAUUAAUGAAGAGAGACUUUUAAAAGUAAAUAGUUCUCAAGUAUUUACUUAUAGUGUUUGAUGAUAUUAAUUUUGCUGUCAAGUUUAACUUUUGUGAAAUCAUCAUUGAAUUAAAAAUUGGGAGGAAAAUGCUCUCAUUCCGUAACUAAAAUGUUUACAGCUCUCAUGUUCGACAUGUUAGGAUAAUAAAAACAAAAUGACUGUAGUAUUUUAGCUGCCCCAGAACAGUUACAAUAAAAUGUUAAAAAUAAAUAUUUUACUGUAAGAAUACUAUUUCUAUACUCUGUUCCUAAUUCUAUGAAAAACAUAUAUUGUAUAAAGAACAUUUCAGUUAUUAGUAUAUUUCUUAUUUUACUAUUGUUAAUCCACAUGGUAUAUUUUUGCUGAAAAGUCAUAAUUUGGAAAAGAAGCCUUAAAAUAUAUGAUUUACCAAAAAUAUUCAUAUCAUCCUAUAUAAACGUUCAAAGUCUUCUAAGCAACAUAUUAAUAUUUUCUUUUUUCCAUAUCAAAAGUCUGAGAUUGGAGAUGGUGCAAUUUGCUGGUAUUGGAUCAGUGACCCUAAAAUAGCAUUGUGAAUGUCUCUGACACGGUGUAGGCCUUUCCCUCAUGUUCACAAAAUUGCUGCUAUGAAUCUGUGUUUCCUCCUCCAGUUCAGGCUGAGAUCUCAAGUACUUUGUGCAACCUUACACAGGCGUGGAAGAAGGUGGUUUGAAUGGG